rnacentral:rRNA from 1 species
GGACCCGCACAAGUAGUGGAGCAUGUGGUUUAAUUCGAAGAUACGCGCAGAACCUUACCAACACUUGACAUGUUCGUCGCGACUUUAAGAGAUUAAAGUUUUCGGUUCGGCCGGACGAAAACACAGGUGCUGCAUGGCUGUCGUCAGCUCGUGUCGUGAGAUGUUGGGUUAAGUCCCGCAACGAGCGCAACCCUCACUUUUAGUUGCCAUCAUUUAGUUGGGCACUCUGAAAGAACUGCCAGUGAUAAGCUGGAGGAAGGUGGGGAUGACGUCAAGUCCUCAUGGCCCUUACGUGUUGGGCUACACACGUGCUACAAUGGUAUUUACAACAGGAAGCAAGACUGCGAAGUUAAGCAAAUCCUUAAAAGAUACCUCAGUUCGGAUUGCACUCUGCAACUCGAGUGCAUGAAGCUGGAAUUACUAGUAAUCGU